rnacentral:rRNA from 1 species
GCACAAGCGGUGGAUGAUGUGGAUUAAUUCGAUGCAACGCGAAAAACCUUACCUACCCUUGACAUGCCUGGAAUUCCGCAGAGAUGUGGAAGUGCCCGAAAGGGAGCCAGGACACAGGUGCUGCAUGGCUGUCGUCAGCUCGUGUCGUGAGAUGUUGGGUUAAGUCCCGCAACGAGCGCAACCCUUAUCACUAGUUGCUACGCAAGGGCACUCUAGUGAGACUGCCGGUGACAAACCGGAGGAAGGUGGGGAUGACGUCAAGUCCUCAUGGCCCUUAUGGGUAGGGCUUCACACGUCAUACAAUGGCCGGUACAGAGGGUUGCCAACCCGCGAGGGGGAGCUAAUCCCAGAAAACCGGUCGUAGUCCGGAUUGCAGUCUGCAACUCGACUGCAUGAAGUCGGAAUCGCUAGUAAUCGCGGAUCAGCAUGUCGCGGUGAAUACGUUCCCGGGUCUUGUACACACCGCCCGUCACACCAUGGGAGCGGGGUUCACCAGAAGCCGUUUGCCUAACCGCAAGGAGGGCGGCGACCACGGUGAGCUUCGUGACUGGGGUGAAGUCGUAACAAGGUAGCCGUAUCGGAAGGUGCGGCUGGAUCACCUCCUUUCUG